GACGAACGCGGGCGGCGUGCUUAACACUGCAAGUCGAACGCUGAAGGCCCAGCUUGCUGGGUUGGUGAGUGGCGAACGGGUGAGUAACACGUGAGUAACCUGCCCCCUUCUUUGGGAUAACGGUCGGAAACGGCUGCUAAUACCGGGUAUUCACUGUCCUUCGCAUGGGGGGUGGUGGAAAGGUUUUUUCUGGUGGGGGAUGGGCUCGCGGCCUAUCAGCUUGUUGGUGGGGUGAUGGCUUACCAAGGCUUUGACGGGUAACCGGCCUGAGAGGGUGACCGGUCACAUUGGGACUGAGAUACGGCCCAGACUCCUACGGGAGGCAGCAGUGGGGAAUAUUGCACAAUGGGCGAAAGCCUGAUGCAGCGACGCCGCGUGAGGGAUGACGGCCUUCGGGUUGUAAACCUCUUUCGCUCAUGGUCAAGCCGCAACAGUGGUUGUGGUGAGGGUAGUGGGUAAAGAAGCACCGGCUAACUACGUGCCAGCAGCCGCGGUAAUACGUAGGGUGCGAGCGUUGUCCGGAAUUAUUGGGCGUAAAGGGCUUGUAGGCGGUUUGUCGCGUCUGCCGUGAAAUCCUCUGGCUUAACUGGGGGCGUGCGGUGGGUACGGGCAGGCUUGAGUGCGGUAGGGGAGACUGGAACUCCUGGUGUAGCGGUGGAAUGCGCAGAUAUCAGGAAGAACACCGGUGGCGAAGGCGGGUCUCUGGGCCGUUACUGACGCUGAGGAGCGAAAGCGUGGGGAGCAACAGG
rnacentral:rRNA from 1 species